GAUAUAGCUCAGUUGGAGAGUGCUUGCCUCUCAUGCACAAGGCCCUGGGUUUAAUCCCCAGGCACUACCA
rnacentral:tRNA from 1 species